CUAAGGGGCGGGAUUUGGGGGAAACACAACUCCCGGGUGUCUCAGGCGAAGGGCUUCCCUGGCUGAAGCUGGGAGGGGGACCUCGCUACCUUUUUGCUGUUCCCCCCGCAGACCUGUAGGCAGGAGAGUUCACCUGGGAGAAAUGAAGCUUGGGAGAUCCCAGCCCAGGAGCUCCUGGAGAGCGGGCGGGCUGGAUGGUGUUCAAGCCCAACCCGACAAGCGUCUUUCUUUCUAUGUGGUUUCAGAGUCCAAAGCCUCCAGAAGCAGGUGUUUGGCAAGUUGGUACACAGGUAUUGGUGUGAAAUUCUGGGAGCCUGAAUCACCCAUUCUUCUGAUGGUAAUAGGUGUGAUGCUAUAAUAAAAAGCCUGCCCAGAUAUAUCCCCCAACUCUAACCCUUGGCUUCUAGUUUUGUUGUCUGAGGUAAGGAUGGGGUGGAGAAAAACUUAGGGAGAGAGAAGUAGUCUAUCCUCUUGUUAGGGAGUGAAGAUGGAACCCCCAUGGGUCCCAACUACUAUCUGGUAAGAAAUGUGGCUGCUGAGCCUCGGGCUGCACUUCAUCCCACCAUCCCUUCCCAUCUCCGGAACUCUUCCAAGGGCAGGAUCUGACUACAAAGCUUCAGCACUUUAUGAGGAACAAGGUAUAUGCAUAUGUGAGAAGUCAUUUUAUUCUCUAUGGGUUUUGGUUCUCCUAUAUGUUAAAGAAUUUGACCAGAUGAUCUGGGCUUCAACACAGGGACUCUAUUGACUCUGGUUCCAGGGAAGGUUCUUGGGCCUUGGCCAACUGGUCCUGUCUCCUUUCUUCUGCAGAAUGGACAAGAGCUAUUCAGUUUCAGAAUUAGGAUUAAAUGAUUCCACAUGACUUAUCUUGCCUAUUAAUUAUUUCUGACCUCAUAACCCCCUUCUCCUUCCUAGUAGAGGAGGAAAUAGAGAGCAGUGUUUGUGCUACUAUCAUUUAUCCAUUUAAAAAUUGGUUGGAAAAAAAAAUUGGUUGGAAUCUACUGUGUACCAAUUCCCAUGUUAAGCCCUGGGGAUCAACAGUACAUUAGACACAGUCUUUGACCUUACAGAAAGGAUAGUUGAUUAGUGUGGACCAGACCAGGAAACAGGACAGGCUUUAUAAGUUGGCAGAGGUGGCACUUUCACAAAAUCACAAGAAGGCCUCUUUUUGUUGUUUGUUUUGUUCCUUUUUUAAAAAAAUUUUAUUUAUUU